rnacentral:rRNA from 1 species
UCGCGAAACCUUUGCAAUACACGCAAGUGUGACAGGGUCAUCCCGAGUGCCGACCGCUGAGGUUGGCUUUUACCCAGUCUAGAAAGCUGGGGGAAUAAGGAGAGGGCAAGUCUGGUGUCAGCCGCCGCGGUAAUACCAGCUCUCCGAGUGGUGUGGACGUUUAUUGGGCCUAAAGCAUCCGUAGCUGGCUGAACAAGUCCCCUGUUAAACCCACCGAUUUAAUCGUUGGCUUGCGGGGGAUACUGCUCGGCUAGGGGACGAGAGAGGCAGACGGUAUUCCCGGGGUAGGGGUGAAAUCCUAUAAUCCCGAGAAGACCACCAGUGGCGAAGGCUGUCUGCUAGAACGCGCCCGACGGUGAGGGAUGAAAGCUGGGGGAGCGGAACCGGAUUAGAUACCCGGGUAGUCCCAGCUGUAAACGAUGCAGACUAGGUGUUUGGACGGCCACGUGCCGUUCUAGUGCCGCAGGGAAGCUGUUAAGUCUGCCGCCUGGGGAGUACGAUCGCAAG